rnacentral:rRNA from 1 species
CUGUUCAAUGAUCAUUUAAAUAGCUGCAAUAUUUUUUGGUUACACAAAGGUAUCAUAAUCAUUUGGCUUUUAAUUGAAGGAUAGAAUGAAAGAUUAAAUAAAAUAUUGACUACAUCAAUUUAAUUAAAAUUAAAAUUUUAUUUUUAUGUAAAAGAUCUUAAAUUAUAUUAUUAGACGAUAAGACCCUAUAGAACUUUAUAUUUAUCUAUUUUUUUAAAAAUAAUUUUUAAUUUUAAAAAUAAAUUAAUAUUAUAUUGGGGGGAUAAAAAAAUUAAAAUAAUUUUUUUAUUAAUUUUAACAUUUUGUUAAUGAAUUAAAAAUAAAAGAGUGUUUUAUAUUAAUUAUUAAAAUAAGUUACCUUAGGGAUAAAAGCAUAAUUUUUUUAAAUAGUUCAUAUUGAUAAAAAAGAUUAUGACUCGAUGUUGAAUUAAGAUGAAUAUUAAAUGAAGAAAUUUAUUUAUU